AAAGGCGGCCACAGCGCGAGGGCCCCACCUCUUCCCAUCCCGAACAGAGAAGUUAAGCCUCGCCGCGCCGAUGGUACUGCGAAAGCGGGAGAGUAGGUCGCCGCCC
rnacentral:rRNA from 1 species